rnacentral:rRNA from 1 species
CCUCCUAAAAGGUAACGGAGGAGUCUAUUAAGGUCCUCUAGGCGCGAAUGGAAACCGUGCCGAUAGCGUAAUGGCAAAAGAGGGCUUAACUGCAAGACGGACAUGUCGAGCAGGUGCGAAAGCAGAGCAUAGUGAACCGACAGCACGCUUUAGAUGCGGCUGAAGAUUAACGGAUAAAAGCUACUCUGGGGAUAACAGGCUAGUUCCGCCCAAGAGUUCAUAUCAACGGCGGAGUUCGGCACCUUAACAUAAUCGGGGUGCGUCAGGAGUAAUCCUGUAGCAACAUAAUUUAUAAUCGUCAAUAAAUAAUAUAUAAACAAGAAAUCUUGGCUUAUAACGGUGAAAUCCAUUUACAUGAACAAUAAAAUGGACAAUACCGUGGGAAGUUUGCGCGUAAGAAAGCGAUCACUCUAAAUUUUUUAGAGAGCUACUACAUCUUUCAUAGAUGUGAUUACCUGUAUAACCCUGUAGAGACUUGUCCAGCACUUAUUUUUUGGUAAAAAAAUAAGUGCUGGACGGAGUUAUGAGAAAAUCAUAGCUAAUACGCCAACGCCUCUUUUGAUCGAGAGGGUGAAGAUAUAGUCCGAUCCUCGCAGUAAUGCGAGACAAAUACGACAGCGAUGUCGGCUCAUCUUAUCCUGGAGGUGGAGAAGCUUCCAAGGGUUUGGCUGUUCGCCAAUUAAAAAGGUACGUGAGCUGGGUUCAGACCGUCGUGAGACAGGUUGGUCUCCUAUCUACUGCAGGCGUUUGAUUUUUGAGGGGAUUUGCUCCUAGUACGAGAGGACCGGAGUGAACUGACCUCUGGUGUGGCUGCUGUCCUGCCAAGGGCACCGCAGCGUAGCUAUGUCGGGAAUGGAUAACCUCUGAAAGCAUCUAAGAGGGAAGCCAACCCCAAGAUCAGAAAUCGUUUGAGGCCCGUAAGAGAUGAUUACGUUGAUAGGCUCUAUGUGUAAGACGAGUAAUCGUUUCAGCAGAGGAGUACUAAUACGCCGAUU